GCGUGCGCCGCCAUGCCUGGCCUUGAGGUUUAUUUUUAAAGUAAGGCUUUUUUCCAUUUUCACCAUUAUGGAUGGAAAUCUUUAAGGCUGUUAUUUGACUCCUUGUCUUCACAAGAAGACAUAGGACAUGCUGUGUUCCUGCCACCAAAUUGUAAUGAUGAUUUGAACCUCAGUACCUGGGGGUGGCAGAGAGGUGCCCCUGGCUUUGAAAACUCAGAAAGAAGGCAAAUAAUAUUGCUGUUUGUUUUUUGUUUUUGUUCCAGUACCAGGAAUCGAACUCAUGACCUUGUGCUUGCCAGGCAGGUGCUUUGCUGCUGAGCUAAAUCCCCAGCCCUUAUUGCUCUGAACUUAGCCUGGCAAUUCCUGCUGAUCAGCCAGCUAAGGGAGGAAACCAAGAGGAGAUGUCCCAGCUUUUGGGACACGGUGACUGUGACUCAGAAGGGCCAGGCGGCCACUGCAGGUGGGCAGGAAGACAGCGUGGCUGCAAGUCACUAAGCAGAAAGCUCAGUGUGUUUCCUGCGCUGCCCAGGAGGCCCAGGGCAGGGAAGAGGCACUGGGCGUGGCCCCAAGCUGUGCGUCAGGAAGUGCAGAGCCCGACGCGGAUGGCGUUUGUCCAGUUGCAGGGAAGGGGAGCAGGACCCUGGACCCACCGGGGAUGGGCGCAGUGGGACAGGGAUAUCUGCCAGGUGCUUCUUGAGUGAAAAGACCCGCUUCCUUCACUGGCUCUGAUUCCACAAGCCCCGGAAACCACAUGACGGCUCCGUCUGUCUCUAUCUGUCUGUCUUUCCUUUCUUUUCUGCAGUGUCUGCCUUGUUCCAAAUACACUCUCCACCCCUGAGUUACACCCCUGGUCCCAACCCGUGUUCCCUGAUGGCCGAUUUGCCACCUGGAGAUGAAAUUCAUGAACAAUGUGAGGCUUCAUCCUGAGAUUGCAAUCGCCAUGCUUGCAAGUGAGAGCAGCUGAACACCAACACAUGGCUUGAUCUAACAAAACCUGUCUGCUUAAUGAAAAUAAAUCAAAACUGAAAAUAAAAACAAUACUCUCACUGUAA